UACGUAGGGGGCAAGCGUUGUCCGGAUUUAUUUGGGCGUAAAGCGCGUGUAGGCGGCUUGGUAGGUCAGCUGUGAAAACUCGAGGCUCAACCUCGAGCUGUCGGUUGAAACCACCUUGCUAGAGUCCGGAAGAGGAGAGUGGAAUUCCUGGUGUAGCGGUGAAAUGCGCAGAUAUCAGGAAGAACACCAAUGGCGAAGGCAGCUCUCUGGGGACGGUACUGACGCUGAGACGCGAAAAGCGUGGGGAGCGAACAGG
rnacentral:rRNA from 1 species